rnacentral:misc_RNA from 1 species
GUGAAUCAUCGAAUCUUUGAACGCAAAUUGCACUCUCCUGGAUGAGUAUGCCUGUUUGAGUUUCAGCCUCUAAAAAAUCGCCAUCGUUGCUGUUUCGCGGUGGCGUUCGUCGGCAAUUGGGUCAUCUUAAGUCGUUUUGAUUUAAGCGACUUAACAUUUUCAUUUGGUUCCUUAAACGUUUCUAAGAACUAUUUCUUU